AGAGUUUGAUCCUGGCUCAGGAUGAACGCUGGCGGCGUGCUUAACACAUGCAAGUCGAGCGAAGCACCUUGACGGAUUUCUUCGGAUUGAAGCCUUGGUGACUGAGCGGCGGACGGGUGAGUAACGCGUGGGUAACCUGCCUCAUACAGGGGGAUAACAGUUGGAAACGGCUGCUAAUACCGCAUAAGCGCACAGUACCGCAUGGUACGGUGUGAAAAACUCCGGUGGUAUGAGAUGGACCCGCGUCUGAUUAGCUAGUUGGUGGGGUAACGGCCUACCAAGGCGACGAUCAGUAGCCGACCUGAGAGGGUGACCGGCCACAUUGGGACUGAGACACGGCCCAAACUCCUACGGGAGGCAGCAGUGGGGAAUAUUGCACAAUGGGGGAAACCCUGAUGCAGCGACGCCGCGUGAGCGAAGAAGUAUUUCGGUAUGUAAAGCUCUAUCAGCAGGGAAGAAAAUGACGGUACCUGACUAAGAAGCCCCGGCUAACUACGUGCCAGCAGCCGCGGUAAUACGUAGGGGGCAAGCGUUAUCCGGAUUUACUGGGUGUAAAGGGAGCGUAGACGGCAUUGCAAGCCAGAUGUGAAAGCCCGGGGCUCAACCCCGGGACUGCAUUUGGAACUGUAGAGCUAGAGUGUCGGAGAGGCAAGUGGAAUUCCUAGUGUAGCGGUGAAAUGCGUAGAUAUUAGGAGGAACACCAGUGGCGAAGGCGGCUUACUGGACGGUAACUGACGUUGAGGCUCGAAAGCGUGGGGAGCAAACAGGAUUAGAUACCCUGGUAGUCCACGCCGUAAACG
rnacentral:rRNA from 1 species